UACGGAGGGUGCGAGCGUUGUCCGGAAUUACUGGGCGUAAAGCGCACGUAGGCGGAUCUUUAAGUCAGGGGUGAAAUCCUGGAGCUCAACUCCAGAACUGCCUUUGAUACUGAGGACCUUGAGUUCGGGAGAGGUGAGUGGAACUGCGAGUGUAGAGGUGAAAAUUCGUAGAUAUUCGCAAGAACACCAGUGGCGAAGGCGGCUCACUGGCCCGAUACUGACGCUGAGGUGCGAAAGCGUGGGAGCAAACAGGG
rnacentral:rRNA from 1 species